rnacentral:rRNA from 1 species
AGUCCCUUAACGAGCGAAACCCUUAUCUCUAGUUGCCAGCGGGUAAUGCCGGGGACUCUAGAGAGACUGCCGGUGUCAAACCGGAGGAAGGUGGGGAUGACGUCAAGUCCUCAUGGCCUUUAUGUCUAGGGCUGCACACGUCCUACAAUGGUACGGACAAACGGACGCUAAACCGCGAGGUGGAGCAAAUCCUAAAAACCGUGCCUCAGUUCGGAUUGCAGGCUGCAACUCGCCUGCAUGAAGCCGGAAUCGCUAGUAAUCGCAGGUCAGCAUACUGCGGUGAAUGUGUUCCUGAGCCUU